GAUCCUGGCUCAGAUUGAACGCUGGCGGCAUGCCUAACACAUGCAAGUCGAACGGCAGCACAGCAGUAGCAAUACUGUGGGUGGCGAGUGGCGGACGGGUGAGGAAUACGUCGGAAUCUGCCCAGUCGUGGGGGAUAACUAGCCGAAAGGUUAGCUAAUACCGCAUACGACCGAGAGGUGAAAGCGGGGGACCGCAAGGCCUCGCGCGAUUGGAUGAGCCGACGUCGGAUUAGCUAGUUGGCGGGGUAAAGGCCCACCAAGGCGACGAUCCGUAGCUGGUCUGAGAGGAUGAUCAGCCACACUGGAACUGAGACACGGUCCAGACUCCUACGGGAGGCAGCAGUGGGGAAUAUUGGACAAUGGGCGCAAGCCUGAUCCAGCAAUGCCGCGUGUGUGAAGAAGG
rnacentral:rRNA from 1 species